rnacentral:tRNA from 1 species
AUUUAUAUAGUUUAAAUAAAACCUUACUUUUUCAAUGUAAUAAUGAAUAAAUUUAUUCUAUAAAUA